rnacentral:rRNA from 1 species
AUUGAACGCUGGCGGCAUGCCUUACACAUGCAAGUCGAACGGCAGCACGGGAGCAAUCCUGGUGGCGAGUGGCGAACGGGUGAGUAAUAUAUCGGAACGUGCCCAGUCGUGGGGGAUAACGCAGCGAAAGAAGUGCUAAUACCGCAUACGUCCUGAGGGAGAAAGCGGGGGAUCGCAAGACCUCGCGCGAUUGGAGUGGCCGAUGUCAGAUUAGCUAGUUGGUGGGGUAAAGGCCUACCAAGGCAACGAUCUGUAGCUGGUCUGAGAGGAUGAUCAGCCACACUGGGACUGAGACACGGCCCAGACUCCUACGGGAGGCAGCAGUGGGGAAUUUUGGACAAUGGGGGCAACCCUGAUCCAGCCAUUCCGCGUGAGUGAAGAAGGCCUUCGGGUUGUAAAGCUCUUUCGGCAGGAACGAAACGGCGAGCUCUAACAUAGCUCGCUAAUGACGGUACCUGAAGAAGAAGCACCGGCUAACUACGUGCCAGCCGCCGCAGUAAUAC